AGAUUAGGGUUUUCAGAACUUCUUGUGGUGGAUUCAGCACUACCGAUACGGUGAAUGGACCUAAACAGGAGCUCAAUGUGGAGAUGCAAGUUUUAAUCAAUAAUGGAUUGCAAAUCAGAUAAAAUUAUGCAUGAUUGAGCUUCGGACACCAUAGUGGCUAGGUUCGUUCCGGUGAUGACUAAACUGAAAACCAGGUUCUUCAAUUCCCAAACCUUGCAACCUUGCAAUUCA